UGAAUACGAGAUGCUACGGCGUCGAAGCAGUCUAUGUCAUACUUCCAAGAAAAGCUUGCACUGUCAUAAACAAAUAAUGCCUGUACCAUAACCGACACAGGUGGGUAGGUAGAGUAUACUAAGGGGCGCGAGAUAACUCUCUCUAAGGAACUCGGCAAAAUGACUCCGUAACUUCGGGAGAAGGAGUGCCUUAUUUAUAAGGUUGCAAUAACAAGAUCCAAGCAACUGUUUACCAAAAACACAGGUCUCCGCUAAGUCGUAAGACGAUGUAUGGGGGCUGACGCCUGCCCAGUGCCAGAAGGUUAAGAAGUUGGUUAGCAUCCGCGAAGCUGAUAACUGAAGCCCUGGUGAACGGCGGCCGUAACCAUAACGGUCCUAAGGUAGCGAAAUUCCUUGUCGGGUAAGUUCCGACCCGCACGAAAGGCGUAAUGAUUUGGAUACUGUCUCGGAGAGGGGCUCGGUGAAAUAGACUUGUCUGUGAAGAUGCGGACUACCUGCACCAGGACAGAAAGACCCUAUGAAGCUUUACUGUAACCUGAAAUUGAAAUUGGACUUUACUUGCGCAGUAUAGGUGGGAGGCGUUGAGAAUAUUCUUGCGGGAUUAUUGGAGCCAUCAGUGAGAUACCACUCUUGUAAUGUUAGAUUUCUAACUUUGUAUCAUUAUCUGGUCAAAGAACAGUUUCAGGCGGGCAGUUUGACUGGGGCGGUCGCCUCCUAAACGGUAACGGAGGCGCACAAAGGUUUCCUCUGAACGGGUAGAAAUCGUAUCUAGAGUGUAAAGGCAUAAGGAAGCUUGACUGUGAGACCUACAAGUCGAGCAGGGACGAAAGUCGGUCUUAGUGAUCUGACGGUGCUGAGUGGAAAGGCCGUCACUCAACGGAUAAAAGUUACUCUAAGGAUAACAGGCUGAUCUCCCCCAAGAGUUCACAUCGACGAGGAGGUUUGGCACCUCGAUGUCGGCUCAUCGCAUCCUGGGGCGGUAGUACGUCCCAAGGGUUGGGCUGUUCGCCCAUGAAAGCGGUACGCGAGCUGGGUUCAGAACGUCGUGAGACAGUUCGGUCCAUAUCCGGUGUAGGCGUUAGAAUAUUGAGAGGAGCCUUCUUUAGUACGAGAGGACCGAGAAGGACAUACCUCUGGUGUACCAGUUAUCGUGCCAACGGUAAACGCUGGGUAGCUAUGUGUGGAGUGGAUAACCGCUGAAAGCAUCUAAGUGGGAAGCCCACCUCAAGAUAAGUAUUCUC
rnacentral:rRNA from 1 species